CUUAAAUGGAUUUGAGUUAUAUACUUUUAGUGUAUUAGACUCACUUACAUUUCACUGUGAGGAUAUGUUAAUAUUCUAUGUACAGCAUCAGGUUACAGCUGAGUCAUAUGUGUGUAUUGAUGAUUUUCAGAAACAGUUCAUCUCCAAAUGCAUCGAAAACAGAGGGAAGUGACGUAAGGCUGAAUUCUGAAGCGGUCAGUGGCAACACAUAAACAGAUAUUCACGACCAUAUGCACCAUAUUCUUAGGAUUCAUUCAGAUCAGUGCUAUUAUUGAUACCUGUAUUGGUUCUUUUUUAUUACAAAAUAACAAAAUAUUAUCUCUUGAGCUGAAAUUACUGUAUAAACUCAAUAAUAUCUCCUUGGAAACAAAUCUGAAAUUUAAAUAAAUAAUAAAUAAAAUAAUUAAUAUUCCGGACAUUAAAACACUAAAUUAAGUUUAAAAAGAACAGAAAUAAGCUCCUCUGACACCUUGUCCUAAUGAUUUUAUCUUUUCACUCAUGAAGGUUUUAUUGCACCUACAGUAACGAUCAUAGGUCAUAAUCAUUUAGAACUGCUUCCAGUCCAGAAUCAGGUUUCAGGGGGGGCACAGCUUUUCAUGACAGAAGCAAAUAUUUCAUGUCAAACGAGUCUCUGGCUGAUGAUUCACAUAAACCAAGCUAUUAUAGUUAUAUAACUCAUUCUGUCUACUUGUCUGAUGUCAGGUUCCCUGUAUGUCUGUGUCCAUGGUGGACACGGAGGGGAAGAGUUUUGAGAACCCAGCAUAUGACGCUGGAGAACAACCUACUGCCACAAGCAUGGUGACCGCCAUCCCCGCUCCUGAUGGAACAAACAAGGAGUACAUCGAUAAUCCUUUGUAUAUGGAAGAAGUUCAGGUUGUGGCCACAGGAAGCGCAAACAAACCUGACGCUGCCAACAAGGUUUGUGAACGAUUGAAUGUCACGCCAAACGUUUUUCAUAUCUAUUAACUGAGUGGAUUCAUUCUAAAAUGCCAUAACAUGAUAAUGAAAAACAUUAUUACAUAAUAAAUGUUGUGUGAUGAUCACAAAUUAGUCUAAUAUUCUUUUAAGCCAUUUAUUUUAUUUUUCUACCUUGUGGCCACUUUAGGAAGCUUUUGAGAACCCAGCAUACGGCUCAGACAUAGAAGAUGUUGCCUCUGCAGAACCAGCUGCUGCGAGCGCACAGGUAGCCAUGGAGACAAAACGUUACACGUUUACAGCUCAGUAUCUGAAAAACAAUAACGGCGUGCUCUGAAUGCUUGGAAAUUUACACGUAAAGGUCUGACAUAAUGUGAUUAAUAGUGGACUGUUUUAUCAGAGUGGAUGUGAGAGCAAUAACAGUGUGUGUGUGUGUGUGUGUGUGUGUGUGUGUGUGUGUGUGUGUGUGUGUGUGUGUGUCUGUGGUCUGAUUUAGGCUACCUUUGGGGACACAUUUCAGCCUAGAGGCCAGUUAAUUGGAGACAAAAACCUUGUCCCCAAUUUAGAAAAAGCUGAUUUUUGUCAGUGGUCAGUGUCAAUUUAGAGUAAGGGUUAGAGUUAGGCAUGUAGUGGUUAAGGUAAGUGAGCAGGAGAAGAAUGUACGUCUAUGUCCUCAAGAUGGCAUUUGUGUGUGGUGUACUUAUUGAAGCAUUUCAUUUCUCCUUUCUUUCUGAAGUUUGAGCCCAUUAUGGAUGACCGUUUUUUAGCCUUCAAAAACCCCACAUACACGGUGAGUCUGGGAAUGAAGUAGGGGGGUAGAAAGUAUGUACAGGCACCAUUAAUUGGCCCAAAACACUGUCCAUCGCUCUGUAUUUAAUAAGAAUGGCUAGAUUUCAUAUUUUAACACCCAGAGCUGUAAAUGGUUUGUGCAUGAUGGCUAGAGGUUUUUAUACACGUCUAGUUUUAACUUGGAAGCAUUUACAUUUACUUACGUUGUCCUUUUUGUUAAAUAUUUAACAUGAUUUUAAUCAGGUAAAAUACAGGAUAUGACAUUUAUUUAUAAAACAUGAACCCUCUUGGAAACGAUACCUCAUUGCUUUAAUUUUUUGUAAUGGUUUGUUUGUCCAGCAGGAGAACUCACUCCCGCCCGCUCCAGAUUCUGACGUGUAAUGUGACUUCUACAUCAGAGAUUAGACUGGACUACGUUUCAGGACUGAAAUAUUAUUAUUAUUGUUAGAAGAUGUAACAUUACAGAAGUAACUGCACAGCUCAACACGCAGAACAUUUCAAACACUGACAGACCUGCAACAAAUCAACCAAGACAGUUUGUAAAAGCAAAAUAUAUACUGUGUCAUCUAUGUACUUUAAUUAAAUUUGUGUACAAAAAUAAACUUUUACUGACAUGAUUUACUGCAACUAAUAUGAGGCUCAUUCAAUAACGUGAUAAAGUGAUAGAUGUAGAUAAAUGUUGUUACUGAUCAUAUUUGUAUGUAAAUUUUGAUUGUAAGAGAGUUAAAUAUUAAAACUAUUAUCAUCAAUAUUGUGUGUCAGUAAAAGUGUAAUGAUCGGACUGCAAAUGGUAUCAAUUUCAGAUUUUCAACCCUUUUAGAUGAAGCCCCUGAUACUGAACCUUAUUCCAAUCUCUCUCUUGUACCUUUCUGUGCGCAACAGUGCACAUAUCACAGGAGGAUCUGUCAGUAGGACAAGACUCAGGCUCCCACUGGUGUUAUCCACUCUGCUCAUCACAGAUAGGACUCUGAUCCCCAGCUACUGUAUCUGACCCACUGAGCUGAGAUGAAUUGCUUUGUCAUCAUCCAUUUAAUCACACAGAGAGCCACAAUUUGAGACCGUGAUCACGGAACAACAGCAGCGAUCCUGCCCCCCUCUCUCCCACUGUCACACAAAUGUCUGAACACAUGAAGGUCUUGCUGAGCCUGCAACAACCAGGCCAACCAGAUGAGCAAAGGGACAAAAGAAAAGUGGAAAAGACAGAGGGAAUGGAGAAAAAAAAGUGGAAGCACAAUAGGGAGGCAUGUAAAGGGAGCUGUGAAUUCUGUGUUUUUUAUGUUGUGGUCCAUGAUGAUUCAUAGUUCAUGUUUUCAUAGCACUGGUCCACCACAAGGCAUCUCUGACCGUCAGCCAAAACAUGUAAUGUACCGCUCACUGAGACACAGAGACAUAGAGGGAGGGGAUGAAUAGCAAUGGGUGGAUUUGAGAGGGGCGGACCAAAGAGGCAUGCAGCUUGCAGCAUGUGUGCACACUGUGCUGCCUUCAGGAGCUGUCAGAAACGGUACACAUUAAUCCAACAGUGAGAUUUCCACGAUUCCUGAAUGGCAAAGAAGUUUAUUGAUUUAUUGUUUUUCAAUCACCUUGGGUUAUGUGUAUUGGUGUGAAUACAAGGGUUGUAGUAAAAAGAGCUUUGUUUUUAUUAGAGAAUAUUUAAUAAAAGGAAGAAUUAAUAUUUUCUUUAUCAUUUAAAAACUAUUUAUUGCUUGUUACAGGUUCAUAUCUAAAUACUUAUAUGUGUAAAGGCAUUUCAGCAUUAGGUUACAUUAGAUCAUAGUUUGUAUGGAAGCCAAU
rnacentral:lncRNA from 1 species